rnacentral:rRNA from 1 species
UACGAAGGGGGCUAGCGUUGUUCGGAUUUACUGGGCGUAAAGGGUGCGUAGGCGGUUUGGUAAGUCUGAUGCGAAAUCUAUGGGCUCAACUCAUAGUCUGCAUCGGAAACUGCCGGGCUUGAGUGUGGGAGAGGUGAGUGGAAUUCCUGGUGUAGCGGUGAAAUGCGUAGAUAUCAGGAGGAACACCUGUGGCGAAAGCGGCUCACUGGACCAUAACUGACGCUGAUGCACGAAAGCUAGGGGAGCAAACAGG